UGUGUGAGCCUCUCAGUGUCCACACCAUGGGGUCUGCGCUCAUCUGGGCUGCCCUUCUCUUCACUGCCAAAGGUGUCCUGUGCCAAGUUCAGCUGGUGGAGUCUGGGGGAGGCGUGGUGCCACCCGGGGGGUCUCUGAGCCUCUCCUGCAAAGCCUCUGGAUUCGCCUUCACUAACUACAGCAUGAACUGGGUCCGCCAGGCUCCAGGGAAGGGGCUGCAGUGGGUGGCAACAGUGAGUCGACCAACUGGAAAGAAUCAGUGGUAUGCUCCAGCAGUUCAAGGAAGAUUCACGAUCUCCAGGGACAACCCUACCAGCACAGUCUCUCUUAAAAUGACCAAGCUGACAUCUGAGGACACGGCCAUGUAUUACUGUAUAAGAGGCACAGUGAGGGGAAGUCAGUGUGAGCCCUGA